rnacentral:rRNA from 1 species
CCUACGGGGGGCUGCAGUAAGGAAUAUUGGUCAAUGGAGGAAACUCUGAACCAGCCAUCCCGCGUGAAGGAUGAAGGGGCUCUGCCUUGUAAACUUCUUUUGUCUGGGGCGAAAAAGCUCGAUUUAUCGAGAACUGACGGUACCAGAAGAAUAAGCACCGGCUAACUCCGUGCCAGCAGCCGCGGUAAUACGGCGGGUGCCGGCGUUAUCGGGAUUAACGGGGUUUAAAGGGGCUGUGUAAGGCUUUGGUGAAAGGCUGUGGCUUAACCAUGGAAUUGCCAUUGAUACUGCAGAGCUUGAAUGAGGUUGAGGUUGGCGGAAUGUGACAUGUAGCGGUGAAAUGCUUAGAUAUGUCAUGGAACACCGAUUGCGAAGGCAGCUGACUGGACCUAUAUUGACGCUGAGGCACGAAAGCGUGGGGAGCGAACAGGAUUAGAUACCCCAGUAGUC